UGGUGGAGCCGUCGGAGGGGAGGAUAACCAUUGACGCCCUGGACAUCUCCCUCAUCGGCCUGCACGAUCUGAGGUCCCGCUUGAGCAUCAUUCCCCAAGACCCGCUGCUCUUCCAAGGAACCGUGAGAACCAAUCUCGAUCCCCUGCAGCAGCAUUCGGACCCCGACAUAUGGGAGGUGAAAAAUAAAAUUAAAAAAAACAUAUCUCAAACAAAACGAAGGUUUCCUCAGCUGGCUUGAUCUUCCUCACCCCUGGUUAUGAAACAUGGGUGGGUUUUUUUCUCAGGUCCUGCGCAAAUGCCAUCUGGGGGAGAUCGUCAGGAGCGAUCCGAGGCUUCUGGACGCACCAGGUAUGUGGUCUGGAGGCUGGUUGACG
rnacentral:lncRNA from 1 species